GGUUUGGAUUCGGUGCAGCUGGAAGGAUUUUUGCUCUUACCUUUUUAAGUUCAAACAGUUGUUAUGUGUAACCAUGGUAACAUGGUGGGUUUUCUAUAACCAAGACCAAAGCUUUUGAGGAAGAAACUGGCUUUUGCAGUAAACUUGGGACAGCCUUCUCGUGAUAGAGGACAGAAUAAAAGUCUAGACCUUUUCUCCAGCUGACCGCCAUCCUCAUGUCCCUGAACCCAAACGCUUUCACCACAACAAUGUUUUGUGGCCCCACUGUGGGACUUUGCCUGGGGCUUCCCACCGGCCCUCAGUGUAUUUUGAAUGAGCACGACCUCCCCACGGACCCCCGACAAGCUUCUUCACCCCGGUCACAGAGGGCUCCGCCUGGGGCCAGCCCACCAGUCGGACCCUGUCGCCUCUUCCAGACAUCCAGGGGAACGGAGCGUGCUCCCCCAGGACAGAGAACACACCCUGCUACACACACACUGUCUGUGGGACUGACAGAGGAUAAAAGGCUUCUGUAGAGGGGAACAUGGAAGGAGAUUAAAGUGGUAUUUCAUUG